rnacentral:rRNA from 1 species
AUGGAGCAAGUUGGGCAUGGCGAUCGGGUAUCAGACUUGACGUUGAGGCCCUGCAGGUUCCAGGCGUCCAUGUACUCCAUCCUCCACUCUUCCCGUAGCUCCGCAGAAUCGCGGCACCACUGCCUGGAUUUUGUGCUUCAGAAGGCGUCCGUAAGUUCGGGGAGCUCAAACGGACUUGAUCGACACAGACGUACAACAGGCAAUCUGUCGAACACCGCGCGUGCAGGUGCAGGUGCAGGAAGAGGGGGAGCUGACCUGCAGACGAGGGAGCAGCUGAGGAGGUCGACGCAGUCCAGCUGCGAGAAGACCCGGGAGAUCACGUCCGCCGGCGCCCGCAGCGCGGCCGGCGUGGCGAGGUCCCCUUCGUUCGGUGGCGGCGGCGGCGGCGCCAUGGCCGAUCCGUUGUCCCAAGAAAGCCCAGUUCUUGGAUUGGCUCUAGAAAUCCUGGAGCUGUCGUCUCGUCUUCUCCGCGUUUGA